CCUACGGGUUGCACCAGUGGGGAAUAUUGCACAAUGGGCGCAAGCCUGAUGCAGCCAUGCCGCGUGUAUGAAGAAGGCCUUCGGGUUGUAAAGUACUUUCAGAGAGGAGGAAGGCAUUAAGGUUAAUAACCUUGGUGAUUGACGUUACUCGCAGAAGAAGCACCGGCUAACUCCGUGCCAGCAGCCGCGGUAAUACGGAGGGUGCAAGCGUUAAUCGGAAUUACUGGGCGUAAAGCGCACGCAGGCGGUUUGUUAAGUCGGAUGUGAAAUCCCCGGGCUCAACCUGGGAACUGCAUUCGAAGCUGGCAAGCUUGAGUCUUGUAGAGGGGGGUAGAAUUCCAGGUGUAGCGGUGAAAUGCGUAGAGAUCUGGAGGAAUACCGGUGGCGAAGGCGGCCCCCUGGACAAAGACUGACGCUCAGGUGCGAGAGCGUGGGGAGCAAACAGGAUUAGAUACCCCGGGUAGUC
rnacentral:rRNA from 1 species